UGAAAACUCAAUUUCUUUCUAGAAAUGCAUUUAAUAUAGUCUUAAGAGUCUUAGUGCCUCUCAGAGGUCACCUUGCCUGGGACUUCCUGUGAUGCAUCUUCCCUCUCAAUGCGGCUGCCUUUGUCUUCUUCCAUCCUCUUUGCUGGGAGGGUUCCUCAUGAGAAGCUGGCGGUACAAAACACAAAGCAGGAUUAUCCCUUUGGGAAAGGUCCUUUUCUGUCCUUAACCCCAGCUUGGACCAUCUACCUGGAGAAUAAGAAAAUCUUCUGGGGAGUAAGUAGAAAAGCAAAGGGAACCGGAACCUAGAGAUUGAAUGAAAUUGUUGCAAAGAAACCAGGGAGACUGAAUGCAUAAAUCUCUCUUGCUAGCUCCUCUCCAGGUUUUCUUUCCUUGCAGGUAGGCAUUGAAGACGAGUGGCUGGAGCAAAACACAAGAGCGAUUUUUGAGCAUUUGGCUCAGCAUCUAAAGCCCUCGCCUACAUUAAGAUAUCAUAUCUCUGAUCCUGAGCUCAGCUGGGAAUUCACUAACCUCUAACGUUUUGUUUUGUUAGCAGGGUCUUGUUUGCUUUCCCCCUAUGCUGUAAACUAAACAGGUUGUCAGCAAAUCAGUCUUUAUUAAUGAAUUAGUGACCCCCCCUCCCCAUAAUAUCUUUGCUGAUGAUCCAAAAUUUGUUAAUCACCAGUGAAGAGAUUUAUGAGCUCUCUUAUUUUCUGUUGUUUGUGCAGGUGGAGAUUUAAAUGGCCAUAUCCACCACCAAGAUUUAUUGCAAGAGUGAUGGAUGUUAUAAACCAGGGAAAGGACUCUUCCCACAGCAGGGAUGACAGAAAUAUCAAGUUGAAGUUGCCUUUGUCUUCAUGUACAAAUGACCCAGUACUACAACACAGAAAGAUAUAGUAAAAGAAGACAGAUCAGCCUGUUUCCUGAUAAGAAGAGUAACCAAGAAGACCAUCUGCAAGAACUAGACAAAUGCUGCUGCAAAGAGACCAAUCAACAACUGCACAGACGAGAUAGAAAUCUAAAACACAGAGGUGCAAGGUACACGUCUGAUGUCUUCACCAGGUACUGUGGCCCUCCUCUGUCUCAUGUCAUUUCCUGCCCUCUCCUCUGGCCUUUCCAAAUAUCCAGAUAUUUAUUGGAAUUUUUAUUAAGCCAAAUGCACAGCCUUAAUCUUUACUCAAGAAGGGAAGGUAGCUAUGGUUCAUUUGGCCUGGUUUGCUGCUUUAUUCAAACCAGUAUGAGGACUCUGAAAAACAUCAGGAAGGAUUAUUACAGCGAGAGAGUGAAAUAAAGUUCAGGUGCAAAGUAGAAAAGAGGGGAAAAGAGUAUUUGAAUUUAGAAGAUGAUAAAACUAGGUUUUUGCAUUUCUUUGAAAUACAUGAUACAUAUUAUUUUAUGGAAUACAUUGGAAGUUGUUAUCUAUUGUACUGCUUAUAGAAGGAUGUCCCAUAUUUUGGGUCUUUUAUUACAGUAGAGAACUUAAAACCAAUUUCUGAUAUUUCUCCAAUCUACUACAUCAGAUCAUUUCCUUACUCCCACCUUGGCCCAAGGCUCACAUUCAAGUUUUUUUAUUUGCAUGACUCUCACAUUCCUGACCCCAGCUGGGAAGACAAUCUUCCCUCGUCCUGAGGGAUGCUCAGUUUUUUUGGCUUCCACUAAACUGCACAGCCAGAUCCAGAUAGGCAAAACAUCUUGACUCCUUUGCUUGGAACCUGCUUGAUCAAUACUGAUUACACCUGACCUGACCUCAUGGUUUGGUCUUGGAGUUGGUAGCUGAACCUCAUUUGAUUCAUUCUCUGUUAUUUAACAAUCUUUUAUCCACUUUCAGUAUUGGCCCAGGGUAAGACUGAUUUAGUCAUUUACUUCCUGGUCUAAUACACACCAGCUGCUAAGGAAUAUAAAAUUAAUGAGAUGGAUGUGUUCUUGCUCUUUGGAACUUAAGGUCUAUUUGAGAGUACAGAUCAGUAAAUGAGCAAUUGCACAUCUCUAAGUGCUAGGAAAGAAGAACAAUGUGUUAUGUAGUCACCAAGGGAGGAUGUGAUAACUGGCUGUGAACAUCAGGGAAGGCUUCCUGGAAAAGGUGGCAUGUAAGUUGGGACCUAUAGGAUGAGCUAGAGUCAGCCAAGUGAAACUUGGAGAAAGGAGUGCUUGGAAUGGAGAAAAGAGUGUUUCAGGAUAAGUACAAGUCUGGGGAAUAGAGGACAUGCUGUAUCUGAGCAAAGGAAAGGAAUUUAAUAUUAGUGGAUCAUAGUGUGUGUGUGUUUAUGAGGUUUUGGUGGGUCUGGGAGGUGUGUGGGAAACAGCAUAAGUAAAGGCUGGAGAAGGCUUUGUGAACCACAGGGCUCAGUUUGAACUUUACCUUGAAGGUAUUGGAAAGCCCCUGGAAGAGUGACAUAAUUGGAUUUGUGUUUCUAAAAUGAUCACACUGCAGGGCAGUUAGGAGCUUGCUGCAUCAGCCCAAGCAUGAGGACUCAGAGGCCUGUCUUAGCUGGGUAGCACUGAGGCUGCAGAGAGAUGAGUGGGCAUCAGAGAGGUGUAGGAGGUGGAACUGGUGGAUUCAGCAGUGGGUGAGAUGUAGGGAAUGAAGGAGUAGAAGGAGAAAUGCAUGAAACCUCCGUGUCUGGUUGAGCAACUAGAUGAAUCAUGAUGUCUUUUUCUGAGCUGGCAAAGGAAAAGCAUUGGGUUCUAGUUCCCUGUGAUCAGCCACAAUUUCUUAAUAAUUCUUUCCUUUUUUCCUGUUGUCAACUGGUCUUGCCUUCCCCCCAUUUUUCUGUUUUUUUUUUUUUUGCAGGCCGUGGCCAAACUUCCCUGAAAUGGUUCUUGGCUUUGCUCCAUUUUUGAGGUGAUUAACUUUUCUCAUAUGGACAACUUUGCCUCAUAAAAUUCAUGCACUUGUAGCUACUUUCUUCUCUGUUGGAAAUGAGCUCUACCUCUUAUUUUUCAGGCAAAGUUUUGUCAAUCUAUAUAGGCCUGGAUAAGCUAUGAUCGCCUCCGUGAAGCCUUUCCCACUCUCCUAGGGGUGGACUUCGUGGUUCCACCCUGUUCUUCCACAUCCCUUUGUCUAAAUCUCAGUAACAGGACUUACUACCUAUUGUAUUGUCUGCCUGUUUCCUCCUCUCCUUCCUGCCAUCCCAUCAUUUCAUACGAGAUCAUUAUUAGCUCCUUGAAGGCAGGAAUCCCACCUGUUUUAUUUCUAUUUCUAUUGUCAUAGGGGGAUGAACUUGCACAUAUUAGGUAUUCAGUAGGAGUUUCGUGAGAAACUAUGAAUGAACUGUUCAUAUGCUUCCUUUACAAAUUGCUUCCAAUGUUCAAAUCCCUCAAAAUUUUUUCUCUGUUAUAACUAUUCUUUAGCCAUAGUGCACA
ensembl:lincRNA